GAUGAACGCUGGCGGCGUGCCUAAUACAUGCAAGUCGAGCGAACAGAUGAGGAGCUUGCUCCUCUGACGUUAGCGGCGGACGGGUGAGUAACACGUGGAUAACCUACCUAUAAGACUGGGAUAACUUCGGGAAACCGGAGCUAAUACCGGAUAAUAUAUUGAACCGCAUGGUUCAAUAGUGAAAGACGGUUUUGCUGUCACUUAUAGAUGGAUCCGCGCCGCAUUAGCUAGUUGGUAAGGUAACGGCUUACCAAGGCAACGAUGCGUAGCCGACCUGAGAGGGUGAUCGGCCACACUGGAACUGAGACACGGUCCAGACUCCUACGGGAGGCAGCAGUAGGGAAUCUUCCGCAAUGGGCGAAAGCUUGACGGAGCAACGCCGCGUGAGUGAUGAAGGUCUUCGGAUCGUAAAACUCUGUUAUUAGGGAAGAGCAAAUGUGUAAGUAACUAUGCACGUCUUGACGGUACCUAAUCAGAAAGCCACGGCUAACUACGUG
rnacentral:rRNA from 1 species